rnacentral:lncRNA from 1 species
GGCCCAGCUGCCAACAGAUGUUUAAAAAUUAGAAAAGGAAAUAGCUUAGCAGAAGAAACCCUGGGGAGAGGAGGGAGGGGUGGCCCGGUCCAUCGCUCUCUUGUGAGUCGUGGAUCUCGGCGAUCUCUGGAGCUGAGAGAGGGAGGCGGAGGCUCCGGAGAUAGAGGAGCAGGAGAAAAGCUGCCAAAAGAAGAAUAUAGUAAGAGAGAGGAAACAUGAAAAGAGGAUAAGGAACCAAGAAGGGGCACGAUACAGGAUAAGGGGAAAAGCGGAGAAAUAGGAAGCAGAUGAAGAUGGGAGAAGAGGAGGAGGUGGAAGGAAGGGGAAAGGGUUCCGUGGAGCGAACCGACCAUGAAGAUGCACAGCGAGCGCAAGAGCCCAACUGAUGGGAAAGAUGGGAUGGGAAAGAACUCACAGCCAAAUGGGCAGGACUGGAUUCACGCAGUCGCCGCUUCGUGUGAUGGCCGGGAUACAGGGGGCCUCUUGUGAAACCCAAAAUGAAAGCUGCCUCUUGCAUGGCCGCCUGUGUUAAUGUCAAGCAUUCGACUGCCUCGCACUCCGCCCACGAGAAAACCCAUAAAAAAGUGUCCUGUGGCACUAGAACUGGUCUUCAUUCCUACUGCAUGCUUCCCUCCCGAGCUGGCUAGUCUACCAAUAUGGGUGCUACAUGGAGACCAAAGGGAAGCGCACACAAUUUGCCCGAACCGUAUAUCAGCCACGUCCAGACAGCACUGAGUUCAGAGCCCGGAACUGCAGUGAAACAGGUGAGUGGAUUUGUUGACACCCAUUUCCCUUUCUCCCACCUUUAAUCCUGCAACACUGUCCAGAUACUUUUGAGUAUUACACCCAUUAUCUUCAGGUGCCUAUAGCUGUCGGCUCACCAGUCCCCAUCCCCUACCUCUUCAGAAAGAAGAGGCUGACCUCUUUCAUCUGGCAUUUCCAUUCAUAUACAGACACAGUGUUUUUCUCCUUGCUAAGACUCUCUUCCUAUUUAAUCAAUAAAAAUGAAUAAUUGAGGCUUUGUAAUUGUGGC